GAGGGAUCAUUACUGAGUUUACGCUCUAUAACCCUUUGUGAACAUACCUAUAACUGUUGCUUCGGCGGGUAGGGUCUCCGUGACCCUCCCGGCCUCCCGCCCCCGGGCGGGUCGGCGCCCGCCGGAGGAUAACCAAACUCUGAUUUAACGACGUUUCUUCUGAGUGGUACAAGCAAAUAAUCAAAACUUUUAACAACGGAUCUCUUGGUUCUGGCAUCGAUGAAGAACGCAGCGAAAUGCGAUAAGUAAUGUGAAUUGCAGAAUUCAGUGAAUCAUCGAAUCUUUGAACGCACAUUGCGCCCGCCAGCAUUCUGGCGGGCAUGCCUGUUCGAGCGUCAUUUCAACCCUCAAGCUCUGCUUGGUGUUGGGGCCCUACAGCUGAUGUAGGCCCUCAAAGGUAGUGGCGGACCCUCCCGGAGCCUCCUUUGCGUAGUAACUUUACGUCUCGCACUGGGAUCCGGAGGGACUCUUGCCGUAAAACCCCCAAUUUUCCAAAGGUUGACCUCGGAUCAGGUAGGAAUACCCGCUGAACUUAA
rnacentral:rRNA from 1 species